GGGAUUCUCUAGGCAAGAACACUGGGCUCAACUCUCCUGGCUACAUGUUCCAGUAUGAUUUUACAAAGUGUUGAGAAUGGACAUCUUUGUCUUAUUCCUGAGCAUCAAAAGACAGCUGUCGGUCUUUUAUGAUUGUGAUGAAACCUGUAAUAUUUUCAUAGACUGCCUUUAUCAGCAAGAAUAUUCCUUUCUAUUUUUUAUUUAUUUUUUCAUCAUGAAAAGUCAUUACUGCUUGAAAGGUGCUGCUAAAGGGAAGCCCAAGUCAGAGCAAUACCUAUUAUAGAAGCAAAAAGAAAAAAAAAGCAAAUAAAUCCAACAUGGGAAAGAAAUUCUCCAGAAGAUUUAAGACAGAGAGGAGUUUGUUAUUGGAUCUUUGACUGAUGGUCAAUGCUAAGAAAUGUGCAAGUGUCUGAACAUCUUUGUAAUUUCUAUUUUGAAAAAGUCCCUGGAACACUCAGAAGAUGAUUUUCCACUAGGCCAUUCAAUGUC